rnacentral:lncRNA from 1 species
CAAAACUAAUCCAAACUGCAUCUUAAUCUCUAGCAAAAGUCUAAAAUGCUGACUUUCAAUCCUGCAGCAUUAACAGGAAAAUCCAGGAAGAAGACCUUCAAUCUAAAUUGCUACAUUGAGUGUAAUAAAGUUUACAUAAAUGGGAGGCUCUCAUUUCAUUAUUAAUGACUGCAAAUUUUAAUACAUUUAAGACACCAGAGAGCCAACCCACACACAACACUGCUUCUGAAGCCAACCAACCUCCCAAUGUCCAUUUCACAAUAACGUUGAAUAUAACAGAUCUAUAACGAUUCUGACCUUUCUCUGAACACUGUCGUGUCGUGGUGAGAGCUUUAUAGUAUCAGAAGCAGCACAAAAACCCGCACAAAAGCUUAUCCUGCCAUAACUGCUAGUUAAGCACUUGACUACUUGGUGGAGCCACUCCAAUCCUCAACUGCUUGCAACCCUUGAUUCAGUUUUUAUUCCGAUUGCAGUUUUGAAACCAAUGUGAUUUAACUUCUUCGUAUGAGGAUGUCAUACUUUUCCUUGUAUGUGAAGAUGAAAGAGAAACUAAUCCACACAAAUCAGUUGUACAAAGGAAACUACACACAGUAGUUCACUUCAUCCCCCUCCAAACUAUCUAUACACCAAUGAUGAUACUCAUUUACAGCUCAUUAACACAGAGUUUAUAACAUGCAUGAGAAGGCGGAUUGUGCUAGCUUCUGAAGGGGAAUUAGAUGGUAAACUACGAUGAUGGCUUAGUGUUCGGUACACUUGAUCCAAUAUUGGCCGCACAUGCGCUGCAAUCCUAGUAUCUUCUGGGUUUAUAGCAGCAGCCACAUCUGUCAUCCAUUGCAAUUUUCUCGGUGUAUCUGUAUUGAUGUCACAGGAUAAUUGUUGUAGAAGAGAUAAAAGUACUCCCUGGCUUAAUGGCAGUGGCACCAUUGUCAGGAUACUGCUUAAAUCAACCUGUUCAUGAAGAGGUUUGAAAUUCAAUGUUAGCUAUAUUGACUUUGUAUUGACAUAAUCUUGCAAACCACAAAAUAUAUGCAUUAACCACCAAUUAUAUGGAGAUCAAUUUGAUCAUCCGUGAUUGGAGUGGAUUUAUGAAAUGUGAUUUCAAUCUUGUCAGACGUAAAAGAUGGACCAAGUUAUCAUAGGAACAGCAAAUAAACUUCAAAAUUAAUAUCACAUGUUUAGAGCAUGUUAGGAUUAGCCUAUUAGAGCUUAUCUACUAACAUAAAGACUUUGUGAGACUGUAUGGGAGAGUUUAUGAAAACAACUUGUAAA